GACAUUAGAUACCCGGGUAGUCCAGGGUGUAAACGCUGCAGACUUGGUGUUGGAAGUCCUUUGGGGGCAUUCAGUGCCGGAGAGAAGUUGUUAAGUCUGCUACUUGGGGAGUACGUCCGCAAGGAUGAAACUUAAGGAAUUGGCGGGGGAGCACCGCAACGGGAGGAGCGUGCGGUUUAAUUGGAUUCAACACCGUAAACUCACCAGGGAAGACUGUUACAUGAAAGCCGAGAUGAAGACUCUGCUAGAUUUUCAG
rnacentral:rRNA from 1 species